CCUACGGGAGGCAGCAGUGAGGAAUAUUGGUCAAUGGGCGCGAGCCUGAACCAGCCAAGUAGCGUGAAGGAUGACUGCCCUACGGGUUGUAAACUUCUUUUAUAAAGGAAUAAAGUGAGGCACGUGUGCCUUUUUGUAUGUACUUUAUGAUUAAGGAUCGGCUAACUCUGUGCCAGCAGCAGCGGUAAUACGGAGGAUCCGAGCGUUAUCCGGAUUUAUUGGGUUUAAAGGGAGCGUAGAUGGGUUGGUAAGUCAGUUGUGAAAGUUUGCGGCUCAACCGUAAAAUUGCAAUUGAUACUGGCAGACUUGAGUACAGUUGAGGUGGGCGGAAUUCGUGGUGUAGCGGUGAAAUGCUUAGAUAUCACGAAGAACUCCGAUUGCGAAGGCAGCUUACUAAACUGCCACUGACAUUGAUGCUCGAAAGUGUGGGUAUCAAACAGGAUUAGAUACCCUUGUAGUC
rnacentral:rRNA from 1 species